CUUAAUACCCACACUCUGGGUAACCCAGGUCAGUUUCUGUUCCCCAGGCAACUCUAUUUCUGGAUUGCCUUCAGGGCUUCCUUGGGAGCUUCACAGCUACUUAAAAGUAGACUCAAUACAAUUUUCUGAUAUUUUGUAGAGCUACAAGGCUUUAGGAAAACCAGUUUGGCCAAUUAACAGAACUGGAAGUGCCAGUUGGGUGGGAUAACUAUUACUGUCAAUCAUUUUAUAUAGAAUGAAACAGUGGUGCAGAGAGAUGUCAUUGAAUUAUGCAAGGUCAAAGUGCCAACAUAUUUGAGACGUGGAAUUUAAAGUCAGAUGAUCUGAAACCAACAUUAAUGUGUUCUUCAAUACUUCAGUGAAUACAAUUACUGACAGCAAGAAAAUGUUUACAGAAUUUUACAGAAAAUCAAGCAGAAGGGAAAAUGGAAGAUGGAGCAGAUGGUGCUUUUUACCCAGAUGAAAUACAAAGGCCACCUGCGAGAGUCCCCUCUUGAGGACUGGAAGACAAUGUUGUCUGCAGCCAGCCUGCUCGAAACCUUAGUCGGCCUGAUGGCUUAGAGGACCCCAAGGAUAGCAAAGAAGAUGAGAAUGUGUCUGCUGCUCCAGAUUUUCCAAGUCAACAUUUACGUGGGCAUGGGACAGGCUUUUGCUUUGAUUCCAGCUUUGAUGUUCACAAGAAGUGUCCCCUCUGCGAGUUAAUGUUCCCUCCCAACUAUGAUCAGAGCAAAUUUGAAGAACAUGUUGAAAGUCACUGGAAGGUAUGCCCAAUGUGCAGCGAGCAGUUCCCUCCUGACUAUGACCAGCAGGUGUUUGAAAGGCAUGUGCAGACCCAUUUUGAUCAGAAUGUUCUAAAUUUUGACUAGUUACUUUUUAUUAUGAGUUAAUACAGUUUAGUGGUUAAAAAUAAUCACCUCAAAUAGACCACUGAGAAACCAUGGAGUGAUGAUUUUCAUGCACCCUCUUGCACUUUCUGACCAAGAGCUACUUUGAGUUUGGUGUUACUAGGAUCAGGGUCAGUCUUUGACUUAUCAAUACAUUUUAAUCUCUGUUAAUCUUACCUGCUUGAAAAAAAAUUCUUAUGCAUUCAUAACUUUAUUUAUUCCCUAGUUUGCAGAAUUGUCUGAAUAAAGAAUACAAGGAUUAUUUGAAUGUUACUGCACUGAAAAAUGUAUAUGUAUAGUGUGCUAGAUUAUUUAGCAGAAUAUUUACAAGUUUCUGUUGACCUUGUUGAUUGAGCAUGACUACUAAAUAUUAUGUAAUAAAAAGCAUUUAUCAU